GAGUUUCACGUGGAAUGGCGAAAGAGCCAGAUUUCCAAGUUGUAAGGCUUCCAGGAAGGAGUACAGGGAUAGGAUCAUGCUGUACCAGAAAAUAUGUAUAAAAUUAAAAGCCAGCAAAAGCACAGACGUUUACUAAAGCACUAAAUGCAUGGACAGGACAAAAUACCUGAGUUGGACAAUGGAAUUAUCAACCCAGAAUCCUGCAUCCUAAACUUAAACAGGAAUGCAACAGGGAAAGAUUUCUGCAACAAGGAAAGACACUGACUUUGCCACUAAAGAAAAUUCAGGCUUUUCUGACUGGAAAGAUCCGACAUCCUCAGAUCUAUUACAUUCUUCAGCCAGCCAUUAGCUGUCAUCAGCUUACUUCUCCGCAUUCUGAACUCUUAAUUUAAAGCAACCAUAUGUGCUUUCUUUAAAGUCACUGUCAGUGAAAGCCUACUAGAGUUACUCAGUCAGGCUUCUGGUCUAGUUAUAGUAUUUUAACCUAAUCAAAAAUAUAAAAACUAUCAAACAUAA